rnacentral:rRNA from 1 species
UACGGAGGGUGCAAGCGUUAUCCGGAUUUACUGGGUUUAAAGGGUGCGUAGGUGGGCAGGUAAGUCAGUGGUGAAAUCUCCUUGCUUAACAAGGAAACUGCCAUUGAUACUGCAGAACUAGAGUACAGAUGACGUUGGCGGAAUGUGUCAUGUAGCGGUGAAAUGCAUAGAUAUGACACAGAACACCGAUUGCGAAGGCAGCUGACGAAACUGCAACUGACGCUGAUGCACGAAAGUGCGGGGAUCAAACAGG